rnacentral:miRNA from 1 species
GUGCACAGGGCUCUGACCUAUGAAUUGACAGCCAGUGCUCUUGUCUCCCCUCUGGCUGCCAAUUCCAUAGGUCACAGGUAUGUUCGCC